rnacentral:snoRNA from 12 species
CCGUUCUUGUGUUAUUCACUGGAUGUUAUUGUCAAAUCCAGUGAUUGUCAAACAGAACGAAGAUCAAAGCAAACUAAUCACUCCAUAAUGAUGGGCCGACUUAACCCUGGGCCACUUCAUUACUAAAUGAUUGCGACAUUU